rnacentral:rRNA from 1 species
UGCGUAGGCGGCAUGUCAAGCCAGAGGUGAAGGGCAUUGGCUCAACCAAUGUAAGCCUUUGGAACUGACGUGCUUGAGUACAGGAGAGGUAAGUGGAAUUCCUAGUGUAGAGGUGAAAUUCGUAGAUAUUAGGAGGAACACCAGUGGCGAAGGCGACUUACUGGACUGUAACUGACGCUGAGGCACGAAAGACGUGGGUAGGCGAACA